UCCCGACCUGAAGACCUUCCGACCUGAGGUCUUUCCGUCCUGAGGACUUUCCGUCUUGAGGACCUCCCGACCUGAAGACCUUCCGACCUGAGGUCUUUCCGUCCUGAGGACUUUCCGUCUUGAGGACCUCCCGACCUGAAGACCUUCCGACCUGAGGUCUUUCCGUCCUGAGGACUUUCCGUCUUGAGGACCUCCCGACCUGAAGACCUUCCGACCUGAGGUCUUUCCGUCCUGAGGACUUUCCGUCUUGAGGACCUCCCGACCUGAAGACCUUCCGACCUGAGGUCUUUCCGUCC